GAUGAACGCUGGCGGCGUGCCUAAUACAUGCAAGUCGAGCGAACGGACUAGAAGCUUGCUUCUCUGAUGUUAGCGGCGGACGGGUGAGUAACACGUGGAGAACCUAUCUAGAAGACUGGGAUAACUUCGGGAAACCGGAGCUAAUACCGGAUGAUAGUUUGAACCGCAGGGUUCAAAAGUGAAAGACGGUCUUGCUGGCACCUAUAGAUGGAACCGCGCUGCGGUAGCUAGUUGGUAAGGUAACGGCGUACCAAGGCAACGCUGCAAUGCCGACCUGGGAGGGUGGUCGGCCCCACUGGAACUGUAACACGGUCCGGACCACUACGCGACGCAGCACAGGAGUAUGUAACGCUAUGGGCGAAGGCAUCGCGGAGUCAAGCCACCUGGGUGAUAGAGGGCUUCCCAUCGUAAAACUCUGUUAUUUGGGAAGAAUGUAUAUGUAAGUAACUGUGCACAACUUGACGGUACCUAAUCAGAAAGCACCGGCUAACUCCGUG
rnacentral:rRNA from 1 species